UGGGGAAUAUUGGACAAUGGGCGAAAGCCUGAUCCAGCCAUGCCGCGUGUGUGAAGAAGGUCUUCGGAUUGUAAAGCACUUUAAGUUGGGAGGAAGGGCAGUUACCUAAUACGUGAUUGUUUUGACGUUACCGACAGAAUAAGCACCGGCUAACUCUGUGCCAGCAGCCGCGGUAAUACAGAGGGUGCAAGCGCUAAUCGGAAUUACUGGGCGUAAAGCGCGCGUAGGUGGUUAGUUAAGUUGGAUGUGAAAUCCCCGGGCUCAACCUGGGAACUGCAUUCAAAACUGACUGACUAGAGUAUGGUAGAGGGUGGUGGAAUUUCCUGUGUAGCGGUGAAAUGCGUAGAUAUAGGAAGGAACACCAGUGGCGAAGGCGACCACCUGGACUGAUACUGACACUGAGGUGCGAAAGCGUGGGGAGCAAACAGGAUUAGAUACCCUUGUAGUCCCUGAGCGGGCUGGCAAGGCGCAU
rnacentral:rRNA from 1 species